UAAAACUAAUGGAGCGAUUUUUAUAGUAUAAUAUACAAUAUUAAAAUUAAUUAAAAGUUUAAUUUAAUUCAGCCGUCGUAUGUAAGGGCGAGUGUGUGUGUGUGUGUGUGUGUGUGUGUGGCAAUUAAAACGCCCACGGCCCGCGGUUUAA